AUGGUGUGGAAAGCACCUAUUCCGCUGAAAAUUAAAAUCUUCUUAUGGCAACUGUUUCAGAAUGCCGUGCUGACUCGGGAUAAUAUGCGUAUUAGGAAAUGGCCUGGCAAUCCUGUGUGUUCUUUUUGUACGAAUAUAGAAACAACAAAUCAAUUAUUCUUUACUUGCCCACUUGCUCGGUCAGUUUGGGGGGUGCUGGGUGUGACGGCUGGGACUUCUCACUGUCCUCGAUCACUUUGGCAAAGUUUCGCUUGGCUCUAUAAGUUUUUCCUGGGAGGGAAGCGCUUUUAUAUGAUGAUCAUUGCUGCCAUAUGUUGGGGGAUCUGGAAUCUCCGCAAUAAAGUUACAUUUGAAAAAUAUGUUGCUCGUACCCCUCUGGAGGCUGUUUUCACUGCCUGCUCGUUUAUGUUAUAUUGGGUAGGUUUGCUUAAGGAGGAAGAGAAGGUGAAGUUCCAAGCUGGAGUGAAGAGGUCAGCACACGCGGCUGCUACGCUGGCGGAUAGGUCCUUCCCGCGUGGCAGACUUCUCUUGGGAGACAAAGAUGGGAUCCAAAUUGGUUAG
rnacentral:rRNA from 1 species